GGUCCCCAGAUGUUGUUGGACUACAACUCCCAUCUUCCUUGAGCUCUGGCCUUGCUAGCUAGCGGUGAUGGGGGUUGCAGUUCAACAACAUCUGGGGACCCA
rnacentral:miRNA from 1 species